GAUGAACGCUAGCGGCAGGCCUAAUACAUGCAAGUCGAACGGUGUCUUCGGACAUAGUGGCGCACGGGUGCGUAACACGUAUGCAACCUACCUUACAUUGGGGGAUAGCCCUUCGAAAGGGAGAUUAAUACCGCAUAAGACAGUAGCUGGGCAUCCAGCAGCUGUUAAAGAUUUAUCGAUGUAAGCUGGGCAUGCGUCCAAUUAGCUAGUUGGUGAGGUAACGGCUCACCAAGGCAAUGAUUGGUAGGGGAACUGAGAGGUCAAUCCCCCACACUGGCACUGAGAUACGGGCCAGACUCCUAUGGGAGGGAGCAGUAGGGAAUAUUGGGCAAUGGACGCAAGUCUGACCCAGCCAUGCCGCGUGCAGGAUGAAGGCGUUAUGCGUUGUAAACUGCUUUUAUACAGGAAGAAACGACUCUUGCGAGAGGCAUUGACGGUACUGUAUGAAUAAGCACCGGCUAACUCCGUGCCAGCAGCCGCGGUAACAC
rnacentral:rRNA from 1 species